AAACAAUUAGUAAGUUAAAGAACACUGCCAACAUCCAACCCAAGAAGCUGACCCGUGACCAGAGCCGGUGAAAACUCCUUGCAGUGUUUGAUUAUUUUUCAGCUAUGUGUAAAUAUUUGUUGAAAGACAUUACCGUAAUCUUGCAAACAAAACCAAAACGAAUAGCAGGGGAAUUCGGGAAGAGAGGAUUAGCGAAAUAGAGGAAGAGAGAAAGAAAAAAAAAAGGAAAACAGGAACAAGGAUGCAGUGGCAUGAUCUCCCAACAUCAAAAGAAACCGCUGGAAUUCUGAAGAACUGCUAGGACGCACGAUCUCAACAUUGGCGGUAACUGCCACAACAACGUCGGAGUACAAAUAGAUACAUCAAUAACCAUCCCUCUUCCAAUCUACAGUUUGUAACAAAAUAGAAAAUAGAGCAACAAACAAGAGCAGAGAAAAGGAGGAGCAAUCGGCAGAGGGUGAUGGAUUUAAAUCGGGUCCUUUUCGUUGUCUUGAGAAGAUGAUUAAUUUCUUCAUGUCCAGCCUUCACAUCAAGGAUUAAACCCAGGACGAUUUAGUUGUUGCUCCUUGCCAAAUUGUCCAGUUAUUUGUGUGGGUUCUGAAAGGUGUUUCCCAACAGUUGCCCCGUUCGUUGUUCAGGAAAUAUUUU